rnacentral:rRNA from 1 species
UACGAAGGGGGCUAGCGUUGUUCGGAAUUACUGGGCGUAAAGCGCGCGCAGGCGGUCUUCCAAGUCAGUGGUGAAAGCCCGGAGCUCAACUCCGGAACUGCCAUUGAAACUGUAAGACUUGAGGAUGAGAGAGGUGAGUGGAAUUCCCAGUGUAGAGGUGAAAUUCGUAGAUAUUGGGAAGAACACCGGUGGCGAAGGCGGCUCACUGGCUCAUUACUGACGCUCAGGCACGAAAGCGUGGGGAGCAAACAGG